CAUACCUCUGUUAGGAUGCAUCAAACUGUAUGGUUUAAGAAGGUGUGUUUUACUGCACAUAAAUUAUACGUCCGCACACCUGACCCUCUGAGGCGGAGAGACUUUUAAGAUUUCACUCUCAGGCGCCAGACUCGAAGCCAAGGUAUGUGUGAAGGCUACUUGGGUGCUUCCCGCCUCCAGCAGAGGAGGAGCCCAAUAGCCUGGACUGGACGGCCACCUGGGAGGGUGGCCCUGCUCAGCUCAGCCACCGCUGGCGGCCAUCACCGUGGGCCCAGAUCCUCGGGUUUUUUUCAAGAGAAGCUGAAAAUCUGGGUUUUAUGUGCCACCCUUUUCAAUGUUCUAAUUUAAAACAAAUUUGUAAUUUAAAAAUGUAAGACUC